AUUGAACGCUGGCGGCAGGCCUAACACAUGCAAGUCGAGCGAGCGGCGGACGGGUGAGUAAUGUAUGGGGACUGCCUGAUGGAGGGGGAUAACUACUGGAAACGGUAGCUAAUACCGCAUACUAUCGGAUAACCCAUAUGGGAUUAGCUAGUAGGUGGGGUAAUGGCUCACCUAGGCGACGAUCCCUAGCUGGUCUGAGAGGAUGAUCAGCCACCCUGGAACUGAGAAACGGCCCAGACUCCUACGGAGGCAGCAGGGGGGAAUAUUGCACAAUGGGCGCAAGCCUGAUGCAGCCCUGCCGCGUGUGUGAAGAAGGCCCUAGGGUUGUAAAGUACUUUCAGUCGGGAGGCGUUACCGACAGAAGAAGCACCGGCUAACUCCGUGCCAGCAGCCGCGGUAAUAC
rnacentral:rRNA from 1 species